rnacentral:lncRNA from 10 species
AAAGAAAGGGGAAAAAGGAAGAAAGGAAACGACAUAACGAUAUAUUUAUCACAAGGACACUACAAAGUCUCUUUUGUGAAAUCGCCAAAUGUUUCAGAAUUCAACAGACAUUAUUAACUGUUCUUUCACCCUCCAAGAAACUCUACAUUCAUCUCAGUUCCCUGUAUUGAAAAAGUCUCUGAAAAAAAUUAUUCUCCUUGGGAGGCACAAACCAUGAUGGCACAUAAGAGUCUCAAGACGACCAGGCUGGCCAACAUGGCAAAACCCUGACUCUACUAAAAAUACAAAAGAAAAUUAGCUGGUGUAGAGGCGCAAUCCCAGCUACUUGGGAGGCUGAAGCAGGAGAUUUGCUUGAACCCGGGAGGCAGAAGUUGCAGUGAGCUGAGACUGCACCAUUGCACACCAGCCUGGGCGACCCAGCGAGACUCUGUCUCAAAAAAAAAAAAAAAAAAAAAAGAGUCUCAAGAUUAGGGAAUCACUUCUUAGAUACAAAUGUUGCUUUUUUUUUUUUUAAUUCCACUUUAUAAAGUGAAUCUUUCUUGGAGGGAACAUGUGACGGAACUAGCCAUCAGGUAAACCUCAUUAUAAAUUAGUCUAUUGGAGAUUGGAAAGAUCUUGAAAAGAGACAUGAGAAAGGUGCACCUUUAUGCACCUGGGCAGAUUCCUGCCUCACAGCGCCUCAUUUUCCUGUAGAAAAGUGGGAAGGAUGACUAUCUCACAAAGGUUGAAGAUCAAAAUCCAAAGGAGAUGAUGAAUGGGACAGUGCUUCAUCAAACUUGGAUGCGCUAACCAAAGGUCAAGGCUAUUAUGGUUUUAACAGCAGCAGAGGAAAGAGGAGGCUGGAGAGAGGAGAAUGAGCCUGGGAGUUCCACACCAGCCUGAGCAACAUAACAUAGAGACCUUGUCUCUACAAAAAAAUUAAAAAAUUAUCUGGGCACGGUGGUGCACACCUGUGGUCUCAGUUUCUUGGGAGGCUGAGGUGGGAGGAUUGCUUGAGCUCAUGAGAUUGAAGCUGCAGUGAACCAUGAUCACGUCACUGCACUCCAGCCUGGGUGAUAGAGUGAGAACGUGCCUCCAAAAAAAAAAAAAAAAGAAUAACCAAGUUUAACAAUUUCUGUGGGGUCUUCAUGUAAAGUCUUCAUAUAAAACUUAAAUACAUUUAUAUGCUUUUCUCUUGUUAAUCUGUCUUUUGUUACAGGGGCCUCAGCCAUGAACCUAGGAUGGGUAGAGAAAGAUAUUUUUCUUCCCCUACACCUGUGUUCCACCUAUUCAUUCCUCCCUUCCUUCUCUCCUCUACUCUCACUGAUUUUUUGGUUACUAUUUUUAAAAACAUAUAACAUGAAAGAUACCAUCCCAACCAUUUAAGUGUACAGUACAGCAGUGUUAACUACAUGCACCCUGUUGUGCAACAGACUUCUGAAAUGUUUUUAAUCUUACAACUCUAAAACUCUACACCCACUAAACAACAAUGCUUUUCCCCCUCACACCAGCAUCUGGCAACCACCAUUCUAUUUUUAAUUUCUAAGAGUUUGACUACUUUAGAUACACAUAUAAGGAGAAUCAUGCAGCAUUUGUCUUUUCUUGACUGGCUUAUUUCUCUUACCAUAACAUCCCGACAAGUUUCAUCCAUGUUGUAGCAUAUAACAUGAUUUCCUUUUUUGAGGCUCAAUAAUACUCCUUUGUAGGUAUGUACAACAUUUUCCUUAUCUGUUUGUUCAUUUAUAGACAUUCAGGUUACUUCUGUAUCUUGGCUAUUAUGAAUAAUGCUGCAAUGAAUAAGAGUGUGAAACUAUUUCUUUGAGAUCCUGUUUUCAGUUCUUUUGGAGAUAUACCCAGUAGUGGAAUUGUUGGAUCAUAUGGUAAUUCUAUUUUUAAUUUUUUAGGAAAACUUGAUAUCGUUUUCCAUAGUGACUACACCAUUUUACAUGCCUACUAACAGUCCACAAGGGCUCGAAUUUCUCCAAGUCCUCACCAACAUCUGUUGCUUUCUGUUUUCCUGAUAGUGGCUAUUCUAAUAGGCAUAAGGUAAUAACUUAAUGUAAUUUUGAUUUGCAUUUCCCUAACAAUUAGGAUGUUAAGUAUAUUUUCAUGUGCUUGUGGGCCAUUUGUAGUUCUUCUUUGGAGAAAUGUCUAUUCAAGUCUCUUGCUCAUUUUACAUCAGGUUAUUUGCUUUUUGUUGUUAUUAUUGAACUUAGGGCUUCUUUAUAUAUUCUGGAUAUUAAUCCUUCAUCAGAUACAUGGUUUGAAAAUUUUUUUUUCCAUUCUGUAAGUUGCCUUUUCAUGCUGUCAAUUAUUCCCUUGCUGUGCAGAAGUAUUAAAGUUUGAUGUAGUCCCAUUUGUCUAUUUUUGCUUUUGUUACCUGUGCUUUGGUGUCAUGUCUAAGAUCCUUGUAAAAUCUAACAUCAUAAAGCUAUUCCUCUAUUUUUUGUUGUAGAAGUUUUAUAGUUUCAGGUGUUAUAUUUAGGUCUCUAAUACAUUUAAGUUAAUUUUUGUUUAUGUUUUAAAGUAAGGGUCCAACUUCAUUUUUUUACAUCUGGAUAUCCGGUUUUCCCAGGACCAUUUGUUGAAAAGACAAUCUGUUCUCCAUUGAGUGACUUUGGCACCCUUGUCAAAGAUCAUUUGAGCAUAUAUGUGAAGGUUUAUUUCUGCAUUUUUCUGUUCCUUUGGUCUAUAUGUCUGUCUUUAUGCCAAAACCAUACUGUUUUGAUUACUGUAGCUUUGUAUUCUGUUUUGAAAUUAAGAAGUGUGAGGCUUCCAGCUUUGUUUUUCUUCUUCAAGAUUGUUUUGGCUAUUCAGGGUGCUUUGAUAUUUCAUAUGAAUUUGAGGACUUUUUUUUUCCAUUUUUGCAAAAGAGGCCAUUGGGAUUUUGAUAGGGAUUGCAUUGAAUCUGUGGAUCAGUUUGGGUAGUAUGAACAUUUUAAUAAUAUUAAUUUUUCCAAUCCAUGGACACAGGAUAUCUUUCCAUUUAUUUGUGUCUUCUUUAAUUUCUUUCAGCAAUCUUUUGCAGUUUUCAGUGUACAAAUCCUUUGUAUUUUUAAG